UGUGUGUGUGUGUGUGUGUGUGUGUGUGUGUGUGUGUGUGUACGAUAACCAUUUCUGUCUAGAAACUAGUAGACACCCCCCUGUGAGGAGAGAAUAAAAUCAUAGGAAAAACUCAGACGAGUGCUCAGA